UACGUAGGGUGCGAGCGUUAAUCGGAAUUACUGGGCGUAAAGCGUGCGCAGGCGGUUUUGUAAGCCAGAUGUGAAAGCCCCGGGCUCAACUGGGGAAGUGCACCCGAAACUGAAUGGCUUGAAUACAAAAGAGGGUCGCGGAAUUCCCGGUGUAGAGGUGAAAUUCGUAGAUAUCGGGAGGAACACCAGUGGCGAAGGCGACUUCCUGGCCUGUUCUUGACGCUGAGGCGCGAAAGCUAGGGGAGCAAACGGG
rnacentral:rRNA from 1 species